AUUGAACGCUGGCGGCAUGCCUUACAUAUGCAAGUCGAACGGCAGCAUGGGUGCUUGCACCUGAUGGCGAGUGGCGAACGGGUGAGUAAUGCAUCGGAACGUACCCGGAAGUGGGGGAUAACGUAGCGAAAGUUACGCUAAUACCGCAUAUUCUGUGAGCAGGAAAGCGGGGGAUCGCAAGACCUCGCGCUUCCGGAGCGGCCGAUGUCGGAUUAGCUAGUUGGCGGGGUAAAGGCCCACCAAGGCAACGAUCCGUAGCGGGUCUGAGAGGAUGAUCCGCCACACUGGGACUGAGACACGGCCCAGACUCCUACGGGAGGCAGCAGUGGGGAAUUUUGGACAAUGGGGGCAACCCUGAUCCAGCCAUGCCGCGUGAGUGAAGAAGGCCUUCGGGUUGUAAAGCUCUUUCGGCCGGGAAGAAAUCGCACAGGUUAAUACCUUGUGUGGAUGACGGUACCGGAAUAAGAAGCACCGGCUAACUACGUGCCAGCCGCCGCGGUAAAAC
rnacentral:rRNA from 1 species